GUCAGUGUGACAACUGAUCGGGUGAACGAUGCACCAGUAACCACCAUGGAAACGAGGAGGAGGAGGAAGAAAAGCUAGCGAGCAUCUCUCUUUUCUCCCCUCCUCUCUCUUCUCCUCCUCCCCCUCCUGCAUUGGAUUGUGAGCUUUAGACAGCCAGCCAGCGACACAGAGCUCUCUGCUCAAAGUAAAAGGAUCUGAGCCUGCUGCACGGAGAUUUCCCUCCUAUUACAGGAUCUAUAGAGACAACCAUCGCCUGCCCUAUCUCUGCGUGCCUAGAGCCGUCUCCUUAGCAUCACACCAGCGGUAUGUGGUCACCUGAACUAACGGAUUCAAAUAUGCAGGAGGCGUCCAGGACUGAAACUACUCUUUUUGCAAGGUAAGUGCCUUGUUUAUUGGAAGUUGCGGGGUUUUUGUUUUUUUUAUGCUGUUGACUAUUUAUGCAUUUCUUCUCCGCUUUAGUUGAAACCCUUAAUAGACUUUCUUCCCCUCCCUCCUCCACAUUUUACUCUUUCAGAGAGAAAUACAAAGGAACCCCUGUGUGCUCCCGGCUUCUCACCACCUCCACCAAAUCCUCAUUAAUCUAAAACAUUUUUAUUUAUUUUUUUGCAGGACACUCACUCAGAUGGGUGUUUUACUCAGCUAAAACAAAAACAUAAAAGCAGUAUGUUUGUAUAAUCCGAUUCUCGGGGUUUUCAGUGCAAAAAAUAAAACAGCACACUUUCUCUGUGUUUGGGAGCCAAUUA